rnacentral:lncRNA from 1 species
AUUAUAGCACCUUUUAUGUCAUUGUUUAAUUUAGAGCUCAAAAUUUGAAAAAAAUGUCAAAAAAUUAGGGGGGUCGGCCUAUUCCAGGGCUUCUAGAGAAAAAUAAUGAGGGGUGUCACGGGGAAUGACUAUAUAGGUCUUGUAGAGGAGAAACAGGCGCUUCUUUUGCGCUAGGUAUCGAAGGGCGCUAUGUUCAAAAAAUCUGAAACUAGAGCUCAAAAUUUGAAAAAAAUGUCAAAAAAUUAGGGGGGUCGGCCUAUUCUAGGACUUCUAGAGAAAAAUAAUGAGGGGUGUCACGGGGUAUGACUAUAUAGGUCUUGUAGAGGAGAAACAGGCGCUUCUUUUGCGCUAGGUAUCGAAGGGCGCUAUGUUCAAAAAUCUGAAACUAGAGCUCAAAAUUCGAAAAAAAUGUCAAAAAAAUUGGGGUAGGGUCGGCCUAUUCCAGGAGUUCUAGAGAAAAAUAAUGAGGGGUGUCACGGGGUAUGACUAUAUAGGUCUUGUAGAGGAGAAACAGGCGCUUCUUUUGCGCUAGGUAUCGAAGGGCGCUAUGUUCAAAAAUCUGAAACUAGAGCUCAAAAUUUGAAAAAAAUGUCAAAAAAUUAGGGGGGUCGGCCUAUUCCAGGGCUUCUAGAGAAAAAUAAUGAGGGGUGUCACGGGGUAUGACUAUAUAGGUCUUGUAGAAG